GUGCUCGCCUCGGUAGCACAUAUAUUAAAAUUGGAAUGAUACAGAGAAGAUUAGCAUGGCCCUUGUGCAAGGAUGACACGGAAAUUUGCGAAGCGUUCCAUAUUUCU
ensembl:snRNA U6 U6 spliceosomal RNA